UAAACUCCUCUCGUGGUUCUGGACAGCUUCAUCGAUGCCUUCGAUAGUUGUGUCCGAUUCAGCUCAACCCCGGGGAACUCCAAAAGCAAGAGCAAAGAGAAGAAGAUGAAGGCGAAGGUCCAGCUCGAGGCCGAUGGUGGCUUCGCGUCUCCGGCGGCGUCGGACAAGAAGCACAAGAAGGAAAAGAAGAGUGGCAGCAAAGGCUCCGAAUCCAAGCAGCCGAAGCUCCCGGAGCAUCAGGGGAUGCGAAGAAGGAGAAGAAGAGGAAGGCGCUGGAGCUGCGCGAGGACGACGAGGAAGACAAGAGCGAGACCAGCUCCGAGCUGGUUGACCCCGAGAACUUGAAGGGGAAGAAGAAGAAAAAGAAGAAGGCGAAGUUGAGUGACGGCGAUAAUGAGGUGGCUCAUGAGGAGAAACCCCAACGCUGUGUUGAAUUUCAGGAUCUCGGACAGCUUGAGGUUGAAGUUGAAGGACAAUGGUAUCGAGGCGCUGUUUCCCAUUCACCCCAUGACGUUUGAUAACGUCCACGAUGGGACUGAUUUGGUCGGCCGUGCCUGCACUGGUCAGGGCAAAACUCUAGCUUUUGUCUUGCCCAUUUUGGAAUCUCUGACGAAUGGGCCUGCAAAAACCUCAAGGAAGACAGGAUGUGGUAGGCCACCAAGUGUUUUGGUGCUUUUACCUACUAGGGAAUUGGCCAAGCAGGUGUUUUCUGAUUUAGAAGUUAAUGGUGGAGCAGUGGGCUUAACAUCAUGUUGUUUGUAUGGUGGGGAGAGGGGUCGAUAUAAUGAUUGGAACACCUGGCCGUGUGAAAGUAUCUCAUUGAAUUGGAAGCUUAUUUGGUAAGUAUUCACGCAAAUCAUUGCGGGUCCUAGGAAGUGUUGGCAAGCCUAUCAAUCUAAGUGCAUGGAGGUGGUUUUUCAAUGUAGUCGGGGAUUCAGAGUACCCUAUAUCUGACACUUGGUGGCAAACUGAAACUGGUGGCUUCAUGAUCACACCAUUAUCUGGUGCCUGGCCACAGAAACCUGGAUCUGCUACUUUUCUUUUCUUUGGGGUUCAGCCUGUCAUAGUGGAUGAAAAGGGGGUUGAAAUUGAAGGCGAGUGUAGUGGAUACCUGUGCAUUAAAAGUUCUUGUCCUGGGGCAUUUUGUACAGUCUAUGGUGAUCAUGAGCAAUACGAAACAACAUACUUCAACCAUUCCCAGGAUACUAUUUUACUGGUGAUGGCUGCAGCAGGGACAAGGAUGGUUACCACUGGCUGACUGGUAGAGUUGAUGAUGUCAUCAAUGUCAGUGGACACCGGAUUGGAACAGCAGAAGUUGAAUCUGCUCUUGUCUCGCAUCCCAAAUGUGCGGAAGCUGCGGUUGUUGGUGUUGAGCAUGAGGUGAAAGGACAAGGCAUUUAUGCCUUUGUCAUUCUAGUGGAAGGUGAACCUUACAGCGAAGAACUGAAAAAAGGCCUCAUACUCUCCGUGAGGAAACAGGUUUGCAUCCCAUUAACAGUCAUUUCUUUAUUUGAAAACUAAUUGCUUUUGCUUUCUUAAACUCCCCAAAGUGACUUAGACAACAUGCAAGUUCUUGACAGAGUAACCUCUUAAUGUGAUGAUAAUUGUGAUGGAUCUCAUUUUCUUUCCACAUGCUAGUCCCACUCAAAACAAAUAUUGUUGAGCCUCUUGUUUGCUUACUCCUCUGAAUCUGUCCUUGGGCUUUGCAAACAGUGCUUAAUCCGUUCCGUCAUUACCAUGGGGCACUAUGCUUAAGAUCUCACUCAUACUUCUCAUUUGAUUAUUAGAUGCCUCUAAUUUCUUAUUGAUUCCCUGGUGACAUCUAAUGAUUUUGAUCUUAGCUAUGUGAAAGUUAUUUGCAUAUUCUGAUUAACAAUUAACAUAUUCAUCGCAUGGAGCUCUAUCUCCCUUCACUUACAUGAGAGGUGUAAUGAGAAUGAUCAAACAGUGGGACACAUGCUAAAUGGGCUCUUUUGGCUGAUGGAUCACGAUGAACUCGCCGCAUCUAAUGCUUUGCCGAUAUCUUUUCUUUUUGGUUUCUCCCUUUCUUCUGAGCCAAAGACAACUAUAUUAUCAGUAGGAUCUGUAAUCCUCGCAUAACAUUUACUACAGUAGCAAAUAUAGGGCCAGGUUCCAUUUUAUGUUCCUGGGCCAUUUUGGCCUUCCUGUGCUAUUAUUGGCUUCAUCAGGCUUCAAAAUAAAUUGGUUUUUCGUCCAUGAACUAAAAAACAGGUGAAAUCUAUUUUAUAGCCCAUCUUGUUUAACUUGUGAUAGGAAAUUCAUAAACAUAACUUUCGACUAGGCAAUCUGAUUCAUCUUCUGUACGACUUCUAGAUAGGAGCAUUUGCUCCGGGAUCAACGGUUGAGGAAGGGGAUACUCUGGGAUUGGCAGCAAUUUUGUCAGCUAUACCUUUCUGUCAAGGAAAAUUCUUUUGUACAGAUAUGAAGUUGUGAGAAGCAUCCACAUCUUACUAGAAGCUGGUGCAUGGAGGCCUUUUCAAUCUCUCUCACCAAAAUUCUUUGACUUAGCCAGUCUUGGUCCAUCUCUUCAGGUUUUGCAUAAUGCGAGUUUGUACAAAAUCCCUUGUCUUGAGCUCAUAGAUAUCCCUGAGGAAUGUAUUAUUUGCUCCUGGAUCGAGAUGAAUCGGCUGUUAAAUUCUGGAGUUUGUAGAAGUUUUCAGUCUCGAGCUUACAUGGCAAGCUGUAGCUCGAGGCUUUUGUCCCCAGUACUUAAGAACAGUCCUGACACUCAGAAAUAUGAUAAAGAACAGAAUUCAGUAGCCUUGGAGGUCUCGGAGACUACGCCAGGAACAAUGUAGUAUCCAAAUGCAAGCUGCAAAGAGAAGCCAGGCACCUCUUCCUUCACAGGUGAAUGAUGAUUGGAUAAUUCUUGACAAGACAGUUGCUGAUCAAGUGUCUUUGUGGAAAAGCAGCAAAGGGUUCACUGAUGCAUUGGUUCUGGACCAUGUUUGUUCAGGAGAAAUGUGUUCUUAUCAUCAAAUUGGCGAUGUCUUUGUUUGUGAGAAGACUGGAAAUGUUCAUGUCUGUGAUGAGACGUGCAGAGAAACUGUUAUGGAUCCUGCCAAUGAGCUCUUGGUUUGCAAAAUAUCUGGACACUGUUUAAAUAGGUUGCUGUCAGCUGCUGAAAUGGAGACUGAUGCCGAGCAGCAGCAAGGUGGUGUGACAGAUGAAGCUGAACCAUUCAUGGGACCUGGUCGAUUUGCGGAUUCCACUAGGGAAAUGGCAAUGUCCUAAGUGCCGCUUGAAAAGUGAUUCAGUUGAGCCAAUAAGCCAUCUCGAUUCCAGUUUGAAGUGAGCUCGGACGAAAAUUUUUGGGUCAAGAUCCAAGACAUUGUCUAGCACGGAAAAAGUAUCUCGAAUGCUUGGUGGCUCCCAUUUUCCAAGCAAGAGGUCUUUGAGUGGAGGGAAUUCUGUUGUAACACCUGAAGUUCAGCCAUUGGAAGGUAAGCCAGAUCUGUCCCCAGGAGAGGAGCCAUGCACCAUCAAGCCUGGUUGCCCAUCCCUGGGUGGUUCUACGGAUGGAACCUCUUCCUCUCAGAAAAAUGAUGAUGAACAGAAGGUAGAUGUACCUCCAGCAAAAGCACCAUCAACCAGAAGGUUAGCUUCUCCUUCUGUGCCCGCUUCAUCUCAUUCUCAACUGGUGAGUUCAGAACAAUAUGAUGAAGCAUCAGAGAAAAAUUCUCAAUGUUCUGAUGGAUUCAAUAGUCCAGAUGGUCAAGCUGCUCUCGGAACUAGUGCUAGUAAAGAGAGAGCUAAGAAGAGAAAGCUUGUGCAGAAAAAUGACAUUCAGAAGAAACGCAUGACUGACAAUGGAAAGCAAAUUAUUGCUACUUCUAAGAGCAGGAAUGAUGAUGGCAAGCAAAUUAUUGCUACUUUUAAGAGACAUGGGUCGAAGAAGAAAGCUGCAUUACCUGAAAUAGGUAAUUCACAAUUAAGAAAGAGAACAAUUGUAAAAAGGGUUCACGGUCUACCAUGGAAGAAAUGGAGCAAAAGAAGGUUCAAAUGGUCCAAAUAAACAAAAGGUUUCUGGAGAGUUGAAAACCCCACCCGUAAAGCCAAAGAAAAGAGACCGUCAUGUGAAUGAUACACCAAUGUGCAUAAGCGGCACCGCCAGAGUGAAUUUCAGCAGGUAAAUCUACUUAUGACCAACUUUGUUGUUUGAUUCUGGUGAUCGAUCUUAGAAUCCAUCUUAAUUCAUUUGACACUUUUCUGCUUUUCAUGUUGAUCGGGUUUUGGGCUAUCGUGUUAGAGGUAAUGAUGCAAGUUCAUUGUUUUAUGUUUCUGUAUGUAUUGUAGACAUCCUUAAUUAUGUUAGUUUACUUGUUCUAGAGAAGCAGGACAGACAUCAACAUAGUACUUCCAGCAAAAUCAACUUAGAUGCAGGAGAUGGGUGGACUAGCUGAUGAUAGACAAGUUGAUAUAAGCAUUGACAGUGACAUCAAACUGCACAAUCUGAAUGUUUUUCAGUGGUUAUUCUCUUAUCGGCUGGAAUUUUAAUGGUAAAGCUGGAGGAAGAGUCAAAAACUGUAUAACUUGGUUGACGACAUUUUAUCUUUCUUCUAUUGAGGUUGAAAGACGUGUUUUGAGCAGGUUCAUCAAUGUAGACCUGCUGUGUAUAAAGUUUACUUACCAGGUUUAGUUCAAAUGCUUUACUGUUGUUCCUUUUCAAGUGCUGAACGUAUUCUCCUCUGUUUUUAUCCUCUAAUU